GGGUAUAUUCAUAAGUUUCCUACAACUGCAUUUCACAGUAGUGCGAGUGCUCACAGAGGCUGUGCUGUUAUUAUUACAACCCCAAUUUUGACAUAUGAAAUAUUUGGUUGGCUCAGUGUUGUCUACGUUCAGUUUGAGGUUGCAGCACUCAUCUUCUGCCGAGUUUCUUGGAUUAAGGAGCAUUGUUUUACAUUCCUCUGUCCACAGAUGCUUGGUGUCAAGAUUUUGCACGCCUUCGUACAGAGUUUUGAAGCUUCCAAUUGAGUCCGACUCUAAGUCAGGGUGAUUCUUCAAGAUUCUAACAAUUGUUCCCAUCGGCAAUGUCAGAAAGCUGAACAGAGUGUCAACGAAAUCACUUUCUGCUUCAGCAAAAACGACUUUCUUUCUCUUUCUGUCUACCAAAAUUCUUAGACAGAACUUGAUAUCUUCUUUCGUUGCAGCCAUUACAUCAAUAGUCAAGGAAAACACUUGAAUAGAUUACAGGAAAAGAUCUCUUUAUCUGAUCAAAAUAAAAUAUGUUACUCCAUCGAUCCAAUUUAACUUUCCCUAAUUUGACUACUCUGUUAUCAUCUCUUUUUUGUUUUAAUUAAUCACCUAAAUCUGUCUUGGAAUAAUAAAAUAAAGGAGAGAUAAGGAGAAAAAGGAGUAGGAAAUGAUUGUUAAGAGGGAGUAGGAAAUGAAGAGGCAGAUGCUUUUGAAUAUAUAUUUAACGACCACAUUUACCUUUAUUUAUUACUACUACUUCAAGACCCUCUGAAUUCUUCAUCCUCUUUCCGUGUGUAAAUUCAUCCGCAUGCAAGAGGCCUUUUCUCUUACCAAUCAAUGUACAGAGUCUAGCAGGUGAUCAGAAACAAUAUUUAUGAGAAAAAUGCAUGGGGAAUCUCUCCUUUUGUCCCUUCCUCUGCUAGUGGUGAUUCUAGAUUUGGGAAUAAAUUUUACUCCAGCUGAGGUUCAUGAAUUUUGACAAGAUUUGCACCAGAAAGGAUAAAGAACUUCAUCAAUGUCCAAGAUUAUAUAAUGACUCCUCAGUUUCGUGUCAGAUAACUAUUACCGCAUAUGAUUGAAAAUCCUCAACACAUGAACACUCUCGAAAAACCUAUCCACAUUUCUAAUCUUACUAUUGUUGUAUACUCUGUCUAUCAUUGAUUUUAAACAAAUUAACCAUGAGUAGUUCAAUUUUGAUUUCGCUAGCCAUGAGGUUGAAUCUCUACAAUUCCUUUGGCAUUUUGUUGCCACUUGUAACCCAAUUCUGGUUUGCCAUCAUAAGGUAAUCUAUUCUCAUUUGCACAAAAUUCCUUAUCAUGAUGUUGCCCACCAAAGACAAUCCACUUUGACGCAGAGAAUUAGUUUUGUCCACCUUCAAUUGAUCAUCAUCCUCGUUUAAAGGAUUACUUUGAAUCCUCACUUUCAUAAUAUGCUGACCACCAGCCCACGGUGGCUGCUGCUGCCAUGUCUGGGCCGGCUGUUGUUGCUGGCCGCCACCCCUGCGACCACCACUCUUACUGCCUCCGCGAUUUUUAUCACUAUUGUUGGUCUUGUUUUGGCGAUUCUUACCACGAUUUUGCGACGUAUUAGCAGAAUAUGAGGAGUUGUCAUCGAACUCAUUAUACGACGCAGCAACAUGGCGGAAUUUGAUUAAUUUGAUAAUGCGGAAAUGAAGAGUCAGUUCUAUUUGAACAUUUAAUGACCACAUUGUCUAUUUAAAUCGGAGAGCUGAAAGAUUUGUUGGCAUCUAAGUAGUAUAUACUUAAAUGAUUGUUAAGAGGGAGUAGAAAAUGAAGAGGCAGAUGCUUUUGAAACGACCACAUUUACCUUUAUUUAUUACUGCUUCUCUUUCCGUGUCUAAAUUCAUCCGCAUGCAAGAGGCCUUUUCUCUUACCAAUCAAUGUAUAGAGUCUAGCAGGUGAUCAGAAACAAUAUUUAUGAGAAAAAGCUCUCCUUCUGCCCCUUCCCCUGCUAGUGGUGAUUCUAGAAUUUUGGACAAGAUUUGCAUUAGAAAGGAUAAAGAACUUCAUCAAUAUCCAAGAUUAUAUAUAUAAUGACUCCUCAGUUUCGUGUCAGAAUGUUAUAGUAUAAACUACUCCCUCCUCCGUCCCUAUUUAAAUGACGUUUUAGACUUUUUUAUUUGUCCAUAAUUAUUUGACGUUUGUUCAAAUCUAGGAGAAAUAAUGAUAAUUUUUCCAAAAAUACCCCAUUACUUACCUAUUUUUUUUGGUACUUUAAACUCAUUAAUGAUUUAAGGGUAUUAUAGACAAUUGAAUACUAUAUAUAAUGUUUUCCAAUUAUUAUCUUAAUGGGUGUGUCCAUCUCUAAAAGGUCAUUUAAAUAGGGACGGAUGAAGUAGUUGAUAGCCCGUAAAAUACACAGUUAAUAAUUGUAACAAACUAUAAUCAUAUACAUUACUCCCUCCGUCUCGAAUUAUCUGCUGUUUUAGCAGAAAAUUUUUGUCCCACAAUAUCUUUUUUUUUUAAGAUUUCAAUGCAUUUUUUCCCUUUGUUUUCUAAAUUUGCUCCUUUACCCUAAUUGUUAAUAGUCAUUACUCAUUCAAGCCUCUUCUCUUUUUUAAGCAUCUUUUUCAUAUUCCCACCAAUAAGGAUCUGAUUGUCAAAGUUAUGCUUCUUAAAAGACCUUCCUGGCACACUCUUCCAUGGACAAUCUCUUUUUAUUAAAGCUUUAAUUGCGGAAAACAAAAAAUCAGCACAUAAGAGUAUUUUAGUAUUUUUAUCACAUAUUAGUAUUUGUGUAGAACUCUAAAACAGCAGAUAAUUCAGGACGGAGGGAGUAUUUUGUACUAUCUCUUUUUUGUAACUGUUCUUUAGUCACCAUAGUUUUAUUGACAUGAGAAAAUGCAAGUUCUGCAUUGUCAGAGCUUUUUUCGAUUAAAAUGAGUAGGCUCUAGACAUGUGUACUCCCACCAUUUUACCAAAAUAGUUCAUAAUAGUUUCUAGUUUCAUAGAUAAAAUUUACUGCAUUGGUAAAAAUAUACUCCAAUAAAUGGUUUGGAGAACCACUUUGUCAACCCCAUAGCCAAACUUUUUGGAGUAUAUCAAUUUCCUAAAUUUUCUGUUGUGGAUUUAUCAGUUUCCUAAAUAUAAAUAGCUUCUUAGUUUUGGCUAGAAAAUGAAGGAUAUACAAGCCAACACAAUACACUCAUUUGAAUUACAUAAAAGGUGGCUUAAUGAUGAGGAAACAUGCACCUUCUUUAACAUGGCAGAAAUUGAUAUAGUUGUUUAGGUAUUUUACUUGCUACAUCUCAUGGCAAGCUAGGUCAAAAAAAUCACAAGGGAAACAGCAUAAAAGUAAGAGCUUGUAAAUUUAACACCAAGUUGAUGUUCAGAUUUACAUUUUGGCAAGUAAAAUAAGAUCCAAACAACUAGGGCUAGAGCUUACAGGGCUUCAUUGUGCAAUAAGCCUACGGAAUCCUGAAACAUUUUUGUAGAUGAAAAUUAUUAACCUUAUAGAUUAUCAUAUUUCUCUUGCUUUGGCUUCUUUGGAAAGAUGUUGAGGGAAUUGGUUAAAACCAAUUUAGUCUCAAGAGAUGCCUUGAGUAUUUUCAAAGCCUGUACCAAUGUGUAAAUGUGAAAUGUAAGGUUGGGUAUGAGUUGUAUUUGUCCUUGGAAAGAAAUGGAGUAAGAAUAAUUAAUUUACCUCCUCCAUGCCAAUGCUGAUCACUCGUUCCUCGACAUCUCGAAGAGGAAUUUUGAACCUUUUGAGAAAAGAAAUGGAGGACAUGGAUGACAAUGGUGUUACGACCAAAUCAUCAGUCACCAUAUACAUUGCAGGCCCCCUGAAGAAUUCUUGACGAAUCUUUGUCACCUUCGUAUUUUUUUUUUGCAGUGUCAGAUGGGCUGCGUUUAUUCCGGAAAUUUGCAUUACACCGUAUAAAUAAUACUGAGCUUCACGGAGAGAGAAUAUCUGGUUCUUCCAAAAAUGCAGCGAAGCCAGCUGAGGGCUUAGUAGCUUUUCUUUCAGUUCCUGUGAUUUAAUAUAUCUACCAAUGUUCAGCACGGAUACACUUCUAUACAGAUUUUUUAUGCUGCCUGCGGAAGUAUUACCACCCAAGAGAGACAGCACGCUUCCUAAUGGAAGGGUGAGUAAACUGAAUAGAAAUUCGACAAAAUUUUCCUCAGCUUGUGCAAACACCACCUUGUUAACUGAUUUUUGCACCAUUAUUUUCAGAGUCAUCCUCGUACUAUCAGUGGUUCUCUCUUUACCUUGCUGAGGCUGAACUGAGUUGAUAGUUUCAGACUUCAUUAUGUCAGAGAUUAUUUGUUUCUUGGUAAAGAGAAAAUCUGUUAGAGGAGACUUGGAUAUCAUUGACAACUUUAGUAAAUUCAGUAUCUGAAAAUAACAAAGAUAGCUAUGAGUAGGAACCAAAUUAGGAUUAAAAUGUUAAAACAAUAAUUACAUAUCUACAAGGGGUUUCACUUUACCUCUUUGAAGUCAAUAUCCAUUGAUAUUUCUUCAAGUACACCAAUGUCUCUGAUUUCAAGAUCUUUAAGCAAACCAAGGGCGUUAUCCGGCAGGUUAGGAAUCACAUGAAGGUCAUCACUUAUAAUAAAAGACGCGGUUUCAAUAACAAAAACUCCACCUUUACCAUGGCCUGUGCUAACAUUUGAAUCGACAAUUACGGCUCUAUUCAUAAGUUUCCCACAGCUGCAUUUUACAGUAGUGUGAGUGCUCACAGAGGCUGUGCUGUCAUUACUACAACCCCAAUUUUGACAUAUGAAAUAUUUGGUUGGCUCAGUGUCGUCUAUGUUCAGUUUGAGGUUGCAGCACUCAUCUUUUGCCGAGUUUCUUGGAUUAAGGAGCAUUGUUUUACAUUCCUCUGUCCACAGAUGCUUGGUGUCGAGAUUUUGCACGCCUUCGUACAGAGUUUUGAAGCUUCCAAUUGACUCUGACUCCAAGUCAGAGUGAUUCUUCAAGAUUCUAACAAUUGUUCCCAUCGGCAAUGUCAGAAAGCUGAACAGAGUGUCGACCAAAUCACUUUCUGCUUCAGCAAAAACGACUUUCUUUCUCUCUCUGUCAACCAAAAUUCUUAGACAGAACUUGAUUUCUUCCUCCGUUGCAGCCAUUACAUCAAUAGUCAAGGAAAAAACUUGAAUAGAUUACAGGUAAAAAUCUCUUUGUCUGAUCAAAAUAAAACGUGUUACUCCCUCUAUCCAAUA
rnacentral:lncRNA from 1 species